rnacentral:rRNA from 1 species
AACGAACGCUGGCGGCAUGCCUAACACAUGCAAGUCGAACGAGACCUUCGGGUCUAGUGGCGCACGGGUGCGUAACGCGUGGGAACCUGCCCGUAGGUUCGGAAUAACUCCCCGAAAGGGGUGCUAAUACCGGUUAAUGUCUUCGGACCAAAGAUUUAUCGCCAUUGGAUGGGCCCGCGUUGGAUUAGCUAGUUGGUAGGGUAAAAGCCUACCAAGGCGACGAUCCCUGGCUGGUCUGGGAGGAGGCACAGCCACAAUGGGGCUGAGGCACGGCCCAGACUCCGACGGAGGGGAGGAGUAGGGAAUAUUGGGCAAUGGGGGAAAACCUGGUCCCGCAAUGCCGGGGGAGUGAUGAAGGCCUUAGGGUUGUGAAGCCCCUUUUCCCGGGGUGAUAAUGACAGUACCGGGAAAAUAAGCUCCGGCUAACUCCGUG